rnacentral:rRNA from 1 species
UACGAAGGGUGCAAGCGUUACUCGGAAUCACUGGGCGUAAAGCGUGCGUAGGUGGUUUUUUAAGUCUGUCGUGAAAGCCCUGGGCUCAACCUGGGAACGGCGAUGGAUACUGGGAAGCUAGAGUGCGGUAGAGGGGUGUGGAAUUCCCGGUGUAGCGGUGAAAUGCGUAGAGAUCGGGAGGAACACCAGUGGCGAAGGCGAGUCCCUGGAAAACUCCUGACACUGAGGCACGAAAGCUAGGGGAGCAAACAGG